rnacentral:rRNA from 1 species
UACGGAGGGUGCAAACGUUGCUCGGAAUCAUUGGGCGUAAGCGCACGUAGGUGGCUUGUUAAGUCGGGUGUGAAAUCCCUGGGCUCACCCAGGAAGUGCACUCGAAACUGGCGAGCUUGAGUACUGAAGAGGGUCGCGGAAUUCCCGGUGUAGAGGUGAAAUUCGUAGAUAUCGGGAGGAACACCAGUGGCGAAGGCGGCGACCUGGGCGAGAUACUGA